rnacentral:rRNA from 1 species
GUGGGGAAUAUUGGACAAUGGGCGAAAGCCUGAUCCAGCAAUACCGCGUGUGUGAAGAAGGCCUGAGGGUUGUAAAGCACUUUCAAUAGGAAGGAACACCUUAAGGUUAAUACCCUUAAGACUGACAUUACCUAUACAAGAAGCACCGGCUAACUCCGUGCCAGCAGCCGCGGUAAUACGGAGGGUGCAAGCGUUAAUCGGAAUUACUGGGCGUAAAGCGUGCGUAGGCGGCUUUUUAAGUCAGAUGUGAAAUCCCCGGGCUUAACCUGGGAACUGCAUUUGAUACUGGAAGGCUAGAGUUGAGUAGAGGGGAGUGGAAUUUCAGGUGUAGCGGUGAAAUGCGUAGAGAUCUGAAGGAACACCAGUGGCGAAGGCGGCUCCCUGGACUCAAACUGACGCUGAGGUACGAAAGCGUGGGUAGCAAACAGGAUUAGAUACCCUAGUAGUCC